rnacentral:rRNA from 1 species
GAUGAACGCUGGCGGCGUGCCUAAUACAUGCAAGUCGAGCGAACAGACGAGGAGCUUGCUCCUCUGACGUUAGCGGCGGACGGGUGAGUAACACGUGGAUAACCUACCUAUAAGACUGGGAUAACUUCGGGAAACCGGAUCUAAUACCGGAUAAUAUAUUGAACCGCAUGGUUCAAUAGUGAAAGACGGUUUUGCUGUCACUUAUAGAUGGAUCCGCGCCGCAUUAGCUAGUUGGUAAGGUAACGGCUUACCAAGGCAACGAUGCGUAGCCGACCUGAGAGGGUGAUAGGCGACACUGGAACUGAGACACGGUCCAGACUCCUACGGGAGGCAGCAGUAGGGAAGCUUCCGCAAUGGGCGAAAGCGUGACGGAGCAACGCAGCGUGAGUGAUGAAGGUAUUCGGAUCGUAAAACUCUGUUAUUAGGGAAGAACAAAUGUGUAAGUAACUAUGCACGUCUUGACGGUACCUAAUCAGAAAGCCACGGCUAACUACGUG